rnacentral:rRNA from 1 species
GACGAACGCUGGCGGCGUGCUUAACACAUGCAAGUCGAACGGAAAGGCCCUGCUUUUGUGGGGUGCUCGAGUGGCGAACGGGUGAGUAACACGUGAGUAACCUGCCCUUGACUUUGGGAUAACUUCAGGAAACUGGGGCUAAUACCGGAUAGGAGCUCCUGCUGCAUGGUGGGGGUUGGAAAGUUUCGGCGGUUGGGGAUGGACUCGCGGCUUAUCAGCUUGUUGGUGGGGUAGUGGCUUACCAAGGCUUUGACGGGUAGCCGGCCUGAGAGGGUGACCGGCCACAUUGGGACUGGGAUACGGCCCAGACUCCUACGGGAGGCAGCAGUGGGGAAUAUUGCACAAUGGGCGGAAGCCUGAUGCAGCAACGCCGCGUGCGGGAUGACGGUCUUCGGGUUGUAAACCGCUUUCGCCUGUGACGAAGCGUGAGUGACGGUAAUGGGUAAAGAAGCACCGGCUAACUACGUG